CUCGUGAGGUAAAUCGAUUAAUCUUUUUGGUAAGCUGCAAUGUUUGGACUGCAAAGUGCAUGAUUUCUGUGCCCUCGAUAUUUUUGGGCUUAAUGGGCUAAAAUUGGAAUGAUGGGCCAACGGGCCCAAUUCGGAAAUCCCCAACCAUAAUGGGCUUGGAGCUGUGAGAGAAUUCGGAGUGGCCACCCGUUCUGAAAGUUUGGUUUUCUUCUGGUGAACUGGACAUCCUUUUAUUUACGUUUGAAGUUUUGGGUUUUUUUAAAUGUAAUAAGGCCGCUUAAUUAUUUUUUAUGGUUUUAAUAUGUGUUACUAAGAUAGGUAUUACUUAUUUUAACUGUUGAAAUUGGAUAGCUUUAGGGCGCGUUUUCAAAAACAACAAUUGAUUUCAAAAUAAUACGACAACAAGCAAAGCUUCCGCAAUGAAA